AUGAACGCUGGCGGCGUGCCUCAUCCAUGCAAGUCGAGCGAACAGAUCAGGAGCUUGCUCCUUUGACGUUAGCGGCGGACGGGUGAGUAACACAUGGGUAACCUACCUAUAAGACUGGGAUAACUUCGGGAAACCGGAGCUAAUACCGGAUAAUAUUUCGAACCGCAUGGUUCGAUAGUGAAAGAUGGUUUUGCUAUCACUUAUAGAUGGACCCGCGCCGUAUUAGCUAGUUGGUAAGGUAUCGGCUUACCAAGGCGACGAUACGUAGCCGACCUGAGAGGGUGAUCGGCCACACUGGAACUGAGACACGGUCCAGACUCCUACGGGAGGCAGCAGUAGGGAAUCUUCCGCAAUGGGCGAAAGCCUGACGGAGCAACGCCGCGUGAGUGAUGAAGGUCUUCGGAUCGUAAAACUCUGUUAUUAGGGAAGAACAUACGUGUAAGUAACUGUGCACGUCUUGACGGUACCUAAUCAGAAAGCCACGGCUAACUACGUG
rnacentral:rRNA from 1 species